CCAGUUGUAAAGCCAUGUUCUCUAAACUUCUUACAAUUGUAGAAGAAAUUAAGGAGACCCAGAAGGUUCAUGGUAAGAUGCUAAAUGUCCUGCUGAAGAAGGAAGAUGCAUCAGUCAUGGAGGUUCCUGAUGGAGUGGUCUUCCUGCUGCAAACUCAAGCAGAUGUUGAGGCUCUCGAGGAGAAACUAGGGGAGCGCAGUCUUAUGUCUGCUGUUAUAUAGGGGGCACAAGUAAGGGAUGAUGCAACAAGGAGAAUGAUGAAAUAUGUUCUGUCAAACCAGCUGGCAUUGGACUAUAACAUGUUUGGCUGUCACGGAAAAAAGAAGUUUAAGGACUUCUUAAGCGUCUUUUCAACGUUGUGUAUGAGGCUCUUAAGAAGAAUUCUUUGAUGGCAAAGGUGAACCAGCAGGAAGCAGAGAAGGCACUGUCCAAAUGGUUUACUGGGGCAAGAGACAGAGGAGGACGAAGAGCAGCCAGACAGCACGUGCCAAAUUAAAGCGUACUGAGCAGUCGUAGAAUGAGUGAGU